GCGAAAGCGCGAACCAGCAACGCCGCGUGUGCGAAGACUGCCUUCGGGUUGUAAAGCACUUUACGGGAGGAAGAGGAAUGACUGUACUCCCGGAAUAAGUCUCGGCUAAACUACGUGCCAGCAGCCGCGGUAAUAACGUAGGAGGCAAACGUUAUCCGGAUUUACUGGGCGUAAAGCGCGUGCAGGCUGUUCAAUAAGUUGGGCGUGAAAGCUCCCGGCUCAACUGGGAGAGGUCGUUCAAUACUGUUGGACUAGAGGAUGGUAGAGGAAGGUGGAAUUCCGGGUGUAGUGGUGAAAUGCGCAGAUAUCCGGAGGAACACCAGUGGCGAAAGCGGCCUUCUGGACCAUUCCUGACGCUCAGACGCGAAAGCUAGGGUAGCAAACGGGAUUAGAGACCCCGGUAGUCCUAGCUGUAAACGAUGUGAACUUGGCGUCGGUGGGAUUAAAUCCAUCGGUGUCGUAGCUAACGCGAUAAGUUCACCGCCUGAGGACUACGGCCGCAAGGUUAAAACUCAAAGGAAUUGACGGGGACCCGCACAAGCAGCGGAGCGUGUGGUUUAAUUCGUUGCUACACGAAGAACCUUACCUGGGUUUGACAUAUAGGUUGUAGGGAACUGAAAAGGGACCGACCCUUCGGGGAGCCUAUACAGGUGUUGCAUGGCUGUCGUCAGCUCGUGUCGUGAGAUGUUCGGUUAAGUCCGCUAACGAGCGCAACCCUCGCCGUAUGUUAUACGUGUCAUACGGGACUGCCGGUAAUAAGCCGGAGGAAGGUGGGGAUGAUGUCAAGUCAGCAUGACCCUUAUAUCCAGGGCUACACACACGCUACAAUGGUCUGUACAAUGGGUAGCCAAGCCGCGAGGCGGAGCCAAUCCUGAAAGCAGGCCUCAGUUCAGAUUGCAGUCUGCAACCCG
rnacentral:rRNA from 1 species